rnacentral:rRNA from 1 species
AGGACGAACGCUGGCGGCGUGCUUAACACAUGCAAGUCGAGCGAGGCCCUUCCUUCGGGAAGGUGCCCUAGCGGCGAACGGGUGAGUAACACGUGGGCAACCUGCCCCUAGCACUGGGAUAACUCCGGGAAACCGGGGCUAAUACCGGAUAUGACCUCCGAGGGCAUCCCUGGUGGUGUAAAGGAUUCUGGCUAGGGAUGGGCCCGCGGCCUAUCAGCUUGUUGGUGGGGUAAUGGCCUACCAAGGCGACGACGGGUA